CGCUAAGAUGAGCAAGUGCAGUU
rnacentral:snRNA from 1 species